rnacentral:rRNA from 1 species
GUGGGGAAUAUUGGACAAUGGGCGAAAGCCUGAUCCAGCCAUGCCGCGUGUGUGAAGAAGGUCUUCGGAUUGUAAAGCACUUUAAGUUGGGAGGAAGGGCAGUAAGUUAAUACCUUGCUGUUUUGACGUUACCGACAGAAUAAGCACCGGCUAACUUCGUGCCAGCAGCCGCGGUAAUACGAAGGGUGCAAGCGUUAAUCGGAAUUACUGGGCGUAAAGCGCGCGUAGGUGGUUUUGUAAGUUGGAGGUGAAAUCCCCGGGCUCAACCUGGGAACUGCAUCCAAAACUGCAUGACUAGAGUACGGUAGAGGGUAGUGGAAUUUCCUGUGUAGCGGUGAAAUGCGUAGAUAUAGGAAGGAACACCAGUGGCGAAGGCGACUACCUGGACUGAUACUGACACUGAGGUGCGAAAGCGUGGGGAGCAAACAGGAUUAGAUACCCGAGUAGUCC